rnacentral:sRNA from 1 species
UUGAGUAGCCGUGGAGCAGUAUUCUAGUUUGAAUUGCGCUAUGAGGACGGGCCUAAAAAUCCGUUAAAGAGCAUACCUGUGAAACGUCUUGUGCCUGCUUCUUUCGCCCAGAUUGGGGUGGGUGCUGGAUAUGAGUUUGCUGGGCUAGCUGUAAUGGCAUACAGAUUAUACGACCCAUCAAUACGCGGAGACUUAAGUUCGUGCAAAACGAAUGAUUUUGUACGGCUUAAGAUUAAACCUACUAUGUGGCUAACGCUAUGAGUAGUGUAGCUUGCCUUGAGUGAGAGUAUUGGGAAGGUGGAUCAGGCGAUUUAAUCUAGGCAUAGAUUGACCGCUAUUGCUACCUGAAAUUUCUUUUGCAAAAAAGUGCUAAUAGUGAUUUGUUCAUUUGAAGAAAUUUCCUAGACUGUAGCUUUUAUGGAAUUGCAGUGCGUUCUAAGUGGCAAUCAAGUAAUGCUUUCGGUAACGAAGCAUGCCUUUUCUUAAAUGGGAACGGCCCUAUGGUAACAGAAGGUGAAAAGGUGGGAAAUCCAACUUGACCUAAGACGCAAAGUUUGUCAUAAAAGAUUCCA